rnacentral:rRNA from 1 species
GUGAGGAAUAUUGCGCAAUGGAGGCAACUCUGACGCAGCCAUGCCGCGUGCAGGAAGAAGGCGCUACGCGUUGUAAACUGCUUUUAACCGGGAAGAAACCCCAGGACGUGUCCUGGGUUGACGGUACCGGAGGAAUAAGCACCGGCUAACUUCGUGCCAGCAGCCGCGGUAAUACGAAGGGUGCAAGCGUUAUCCGGAUUCAUUGGGUUUAAAGGGUGCGUAGGCGGAGCGUUAAGUCAGUGGUGAAAUCCUGCAGCUUAACUGUAGACUUGCCAUUGAUGCUGGCGCUCUUGAGUGCGCUUGAAGUGGGCGGAAUGUGCCGUGUAGCGGUGAAAUGCUUAGAUAUGGCACAGAACACCAAUUGCGAAGGCAGCUCACUAAGGCGAUACUGACGCUGAGGCACGAAAGCGUGGGGAUCGAACAGGAUUAGAAACCCGUGUAGUCC